ACUGCCUGCCCAGUGACAUUAGUUAAACGGCCGCGGUAUCCUGACCGUGCAAAGGUAGCAUAAUCAUUUGUUCCUUAAUUAGGGACUUGUAUGAAUGGCCCCACGAGGGUUUAACUGUCUCUUACUUUUAAUCAGUGAAAUUGACCUUCCCGUGAAGAGGCGGGAAUAUGACAAUAAGACGAGAAGACCCUAUGGAGCUUAAAUUAAUAUGCUCAACAAAAUUUAAAUUUAACCCAACAGGAAUAAUCACAAUUUAACUGAGCAACAAAUUUUGGUUGGGGUGACCUCGGAGUAUAACAAAACCUCCGAGUGAUUUUAACUAAGACACACUCGUCAAAGUUACAUAACUUAUUGAUCCAAUCAUAUUGAUCAACGAAACAAGUUACCCUAGGGAUAACAGCGCAAUCCUAUUCGAGAGUUCAUAUCGACAAUAGGGUUUACGACCUCGAUGUUGGAUCAGGACACCCAAAUGGUGCAGCAGCUAUUAAAGGUUCGUUU
rnacentral:rRNA from 1 species